AUGGUUCUCAAAGACAGUGCGGGUCAAAUUAUCUUUGCAGCUUAUAGAGUGAUUUUUCAUUGCAAUGAUGCAUUGGAGGCAUAGUUGCAUGCACUUAUGCAAGGGAUGGCUUUGGCCAUCCAACAUACACAACUCCCGGUGGUGAUCCAGUCAGACUCUUUGGAGGCACUUUCAGUUCUAUCAAGCAAUACGUUGGCUCGCUCGGUGUAUGGACAUUUAGUUGUAGAAAUUAGAGAUUUAAUGUGUAAUAGGGAGUUUUUACCUCAGAAGGUACACCGUAGUCAAAAUAGAGUUGCAGAUCAGUUGGCAAAUUAUAGUCGCACCGAGUUCACCACGGCUGUGUGGGUGAACUCGACUCCACCUUGUAUCGAGGAUUUGUGGCCUCUUAAUUGUAACACUACUAUCAUGCAAUAA
rnacentral:rRNA from 1 species